UAGAGUGGCAUGUAGGUAAGGAGAUUUGAGUGAUGCAUUCUUACUACUUUGUUAGUUUUAUCGAUUGCAUAAUGAAUUGAUGUUGUGGUAGAUGUUACUUUGGGGAUAUGAGCGCAGAUAAUCAUUGCCGCCAAAUACCGCGGGAGCGUUGCUGAGAACUGAGAAUAUGCUGUACCGACUAAUAUGGUGUGACUGGAUUAUUGCCUGACUGUGGCCUGACCAUCUUGUCGAAAUAGUGGAUGUGAAAGGUUUGCAGUGUGAUUGCUGUGAGCUUGGCUGCUGUGAGAACACUUUGGCUUCUAGGCCCUUCUUUCACUUUCUUAGGCAACCUGUGGCCACCUAGGGCCAGUUUUCUUUUAUUUCUUUUUCCUUAUUUUGUGGGCAUUUACAUCCAAGGGUAUGUGAUAUGUUUUAACAUGUUUGCCUUGUCUUUAAUAAAAAUGU